GUAAAACUCAACGGAAAUCAAGCAGUUUUUACUUAAAUGCUAAUGUUCCAUUUUAAAGAUGAGGAAAUUGGGGCACAGAGAGAUAAAGUUAUUUGCUCAAAGUCAUACGGCUGGUCUCACAUAUGACUGCAUAGUAAAUGCUAUUUCUUCAUGAAUAAAUUUCCAAUAUUGUCUACAAGUCAGAGCUAGAAGAAAGAAAGAAUUGCGAUAAUGGAACCAACUACAGUUCAUAGGCAACAACGUUUUCAAAGCAGAGCUGGAAAUGAGCACAGCUUCCCCACAGAGCAAGUGCUCUGAGCAAUGUAGCAGAUCAUCUGCUUCAAGAGCUCCUUCCCGCUA